GGGUGAGUAAUACAUCGGAACGUGCCCAAUCGUGGGGGAUAACGCAGCGAAAGCUGUGCUAAUACCGCAUACGAUCUACGGAUGAAAGCAGGGGAUCGCAAGACCUUGCGCGAAUGGAGCGGCCGAUGGCAGAUUAGGUAGUUGGUGAGGUAAAGGCUCACCAAGCCUUCGAUCUGUAGCUGGUCUGAGAGGACGACCAGCCACACUGGGACUGAGACACGGCCCAGACUCCUACGGGAGGCAGCAGUGGGGAAUUUUGGACAAUGGGCGAAAGCCUGAUCCAGCCAUGCCGCGUGCAGGAUGAAGGCCUUCGGGUUGUAAACUGCUUUUGUACGGAACGAAACGGCCUUUUCUAAUAAAGAGGGCUAAUGACGGUACCGUAAGAAUAAGCACCGGCUAACUACGUGCCAGCAGCCGCGGUAAUACGUAGGGUGCAAGCGUUAAUCGGAAUUACUGGGCGUAAAGCGUGCGCAGGCGGUAAUGUAAGACAGUUGUGAAAUCCCCGGGCUCAACCUGGGAACUGCAUCUGUGACUGCAUUGCUGGAGUACGGUAGAGGGGGAUGGAAUUCCGCGUGUAGCAGUGAAAUGCGUAGAUAUGCGGAGGAACACCGAUGGCGAAGGCAAUCCCCUGGACCUGUA
rnacentral:rRNA from 1 species